UACGUAGGGUGCGAGCGUUAAUCGGAAUUACUGGGCGUAAAGCGUGCGUAGGCGGUUCGUUAUGUCUGCUGUGAAAUCCCCGGGCUCAACCUGGGAAUGGCAUUUGGGACUGCAAGGCUGGAGUGCGGCAGAGGAGACUGGAAUUCCUGGUGUAGCAGUGAAAUGCGUAGAUAUCAGGAGGAAUACCGAUGGCGAAGGCAGGUCUCUGGGCUGACACUGACGCUCAUGCACGAAAGCGUGGGGAGCAAACAGG
rnacentral:rRNA from 1 species